AAUCAUUCUUAAUUAAUAUGGAAUAUUAUUAUCACACCAAGACUGACUGCAGGACAGCACUGGGUGGACUACUAACGGGAACGGCAUUCCUGCUGUGAAAAAAGUGCAGAAACGCUGUUCCCACACAUUUCUGCAGGACUCGAGCCCUGUUUCCCCAUAAAGCUUCUCAUCACAUGGAAUAGCAAGACUUUCAUCACAUCCACUCCCCAGGAAGGAAUGAAGUCG